rnacentral:rRNA from 1 species
GAGUGGCGGACGGGUGAGUAACGCGUGAGCAACCUGCCCUUCAGAGGGGGAUAGCGUCUGGAAACGGACGGUAAUACCGCAUAACGUAUGAUGAUCGCAUGGUCGACAUACCAAAACUGAGGUGCUGAAGGAUGGGCUCGCGUUGGAUUAGAUAGUUGGUGGGGUAACGGCCUACCAAGUCGACGAUCCAUAGCCGGACUGAGAGGUUGAACGGCCACAUUGGGACUGAGACACGGCCCAGACUCCUACGGGAGGCAGCAGUGGGGAAUAUUGCACAAUGGGGGAAACCCUGAUGCAGCAACGCCGCGUGAAGGAAGACGGUUUUCGGAUUGUAAACUUCUGUUCUUAGUGAAGAUAGUGACGGUGGCUAAGGAGCAAGCCACGGCUAACUACGUGCCAGCAGCCGCGGUAAUACGUAGGUGGCAAGCGUUGUCCGGAAUUACUGGGUGUAAAGGGAGCGCAGGCGGGAAGACAAGUUGGAAGUGAAAUCUAUGGGCUCAACCCAUAAACUGCUUUCAAAACUGUUUUUCUCGAGUAGUGCAGAGGUAGGCGGAAUUCCCGGUGUAGCGGUGGAAUGCGUAGAUAUCGGGAGGAACACCAGUGGCGAAGGCGGCCUACUGGGCACCAACUGACGCUGAGGCUCGAAAGUGUGGGUAGCAAACAGGAUUAGAUACCCUGGUAGUCCACACCGUAAACGAUGAUUACUAGGUGUUGGAGGAUUGACCCCUUCAGUGCCGCAGUUAACACAAUAAGUAAUCCACCUGGGGAGUACGACCGCAAGGUUGAAACUCAAAGGAAUUGACGGGGGCCCGCACAAGCAGUGGAGUAUGUGGUUUAAUUCGACGCAACGCGAAGAACCUUACCAAGUCUUGACAUCCCUUGACAGGCAUAGAAAUAUGUUUUCUCUUCGGAGCAAGGAGACAGGUGGUGCAUGGUUGUCGUCAGCUCGUGUCGUGAGAUGUUGGGUUAAGUCCCGCAACGAGCGCAACCCUUAUGGUCAGUUACUACGCAAGAGGACUCUGGCCAGACUGCCGUUGACAAAACGGAGGAAGGUGGGGAUGACGUCAAAUCAUCAUGCCCUUUAUGACUUGGGCUACACACGUACUACAAUGGCGUUAAACAAAGAGAAGCAAGACCGCGAGGUGGAGCAAAACUCAGAAACAACGUCCCAGUUCGGACUGCAGGCUGCAACUCGCCUGCACGAAGUCGGAAUUGCUAGUAAUCGUGGAUCAGCAUGCCACGGUGAAUACGUUCCCGGGCCUUGCACACACCGCCCGUCA